GCUGUACACAGAAAGAUACAGAGUUUUUUUCUUCAAAGAAAUCUGCUUAGACAUGGGUGGCAAAAUUGGAGGGAAUGUGGAGGCCAUUGGAGACGUUGAAUGAUAUUCAGACUCACCUUUAAGCACUAAGAGAUCCCGGUAGACAUAAGCUCAAAUGUUGAUUUCAGCCAAGUGGAAUUUUUUGAUGCAUCAAUGAGCCUGCUGGAUGCGAUGCUACAUAUAUGGAUUCUUUCUUAGGUUUAAAUUAAUGUAUAGCCAUGUGGAUGCACGAUUCCAAUGAGACACAUAUUUUUCAUGUGUUUAGUGGCAGUAGACAUUUUUAGGAAUUUAAGCAAUUGCAUGACAAUGAGAAACCUGCUAAGAUGUAUGAUGUGAAAGUAAAUGAAAUGUUCACAUUCAAGCUUAUUCGUAUGAAAACUGGAUGGCAAUGGACAAGU